CAGUUAGCAUACAAUAGAGAGGCGUGGGGCUCACUGAGGCCUCUUGAACGUGGCACCAAAGGAUGAAAAGCCCAGCACACAAAAUCACAGGUAGUAAUGUGACAAUAAGAUCAAUAAUCAUUCUGCAAUACAUCACCUGCUGCACCCAGUGUUGCUUUGACCUUCCCGCUCAUCUCAUUUCUGUUUUAAACGUGCAAAUCGGGAACGACAAGUUACUUCUGCGCUCAUCGCUAACUGAAGUGCACAGGAUAAAUGCACGAACACAAAAAAACCUAAGUCCCUGCGACAAACAGGAGCAGAAACAAAGAGAGGUGCCAGCACGAAAACAUUAACCAUCCGCGGAAACCCGAAGCCAAUUCCAAAGUUUGCACUUGGAUCCGGGACUCUUACGGAUGCUCCAACCUGAGCUCCAGAUCUCCACAGCUCCUCCAAAGUCACUAGAGGUUUCUUGGCUUCCUUCCCUGAAUAACCCUCUCCUUGCCAGACUCAUCAGUUGAGGUGGAUGGCCAUGUCUACGAAGGUACAUUUUUCCAGGCGUGAAAAGCAGAGGAGGGCCUCCCAUCACUCCUAUACUACAAGAAAGCUGCAACUGAACAAGUCGCUGCGAGGUGUAACUGCUGGAGGCUCUCCUGAAGAAAAGUGCUGCUGCAGAAAUGUGUAGGUUAAAGAGUCUCCAUGACUGUGUAGUGGGAAUGUACUCAGCUUGGCAGCAGAGCUGUGAACAUACUCCACCCUCCACCCCUGCUCUCCUGUGCCAGGGCCGGGCAUUCCUCACACCUCCAGUGGCCGCUUGGUAGCCGCUCUUUUUCUCCCUCUUUCGCUCACAGCAGCUCACACAGACAAACUGUCUUUUUGUUCGUAUGCAACUACUCGAAACUAACUACUGCCUUCCUUCCUUCCUUCAUUACUCCAGCCGCAUACAUUUCCUUCAUUUCUUCAGCCCUUCAUUCUUCCCUCAUUUCCUUUUUUUUUUUAUAUUUCUUUUUCCUUCCACAGCCCUCCAUCUCCUCAACUUUUGGGUCUGAUUUGCAUGGCAGAGCGUAAAGGAUGCAGACAGUGUGAGGGCCCUCCCAUGUCCGUGUCCUUCAGGGCUGCAGCCGGGCUGAGAUUUGUAAUGCUAGACAACACUCUGCUACGCAGGGAUAAAAACCUCAGCCACCGCGUACAAAAAGAGCCUUGUUUUUUUUUUUUCUUCUUCUUCUUCUUCUUCUUCUUUUUUUCUCCUACUUGUUCUUUUCCUUUGCUUUCCAGUGCCUGUGUUGCACUUUUCGCAGGGAUGUGCGGCAUUCCCAAUGCUAUCUGUUUCAGUGAGGAAUGAAGAUUGCAGAGAGAGAGACAAAAACUAUAUCAGGACGACAGAGUCUGAUGGAUGAUGUGGAGGAUAGUUGUUUUCUGUCUGCCUCUCUGCAGCAGGGUGGCUGAGGCCUAUACAGCUAAGAAGUCUUACAGAAAAUAAACUAUUUUUCUUGGCCCCCUUUUUUUUCACUGA